GUGGGAUUAGGGAGUGGUUAAGGAGUGGCCAGUUCUUAAAGGAUCAUGCACUUCUUGUACCUACUACGCAGGCGUUUUACCCAGAGUUCAUUAGGAAAAGCCCACAAGGGGGACCACACAGAGGUGUGGUUUUAGGCCUGCUACGCCACUAAGUCAACUAGAGUUCAGGGUAACUGAAAGUUGUCCAGUCUGCCAGCAAUCAAUGUCUUGUUUGACAAGAUAGAUGUAGGGAGUAUACAUAUGUCUUAAGUCCAGAGUACAGUUAAUGAGGAGCCCAGAAUGUAGAUAAUAAGGUAGGGUGGAAGGAUAGUAUAGUAGUGGGUAAGAAUGCCUUUAUGAUCCAGUGCAAAGCCAGUUUAAACUAAUAAAUCCUUCAGGUGCUGUUUGGAACUGUACCAGGGAGAGAGAUAAGGGUCUUGCUGGGGCCCACUCAUGAGUAAUUGCUAAGCACGGAGUCCUUGGGCUGGGGAGAAACUCUUAGGGACAGUGUUCCUGAGGCUAGGGAGAAAUUGGGGUCCAAGUACAAACACCCAAACACAAGCACCCAAGCGUGUAGAGGGCCGAUCUUAAGAGUCUGAUAUGGGUUUAAGAUCCAGGACAGAGUUUGACCUUUGCCCAGGCUUUCACCCAAAGGGCUCAAUAAUUAAGAAGCAAGGCUCUCCAAUCUCCCCCUGUUAGGAGGUUCCUGAGACAUUCCUUCUCACUCUUUGAACCUUAGAUUUACAUAUUCACUCCUCCAGACAAGCCAGGAAAAAGCCUUGGAAUUUACAACUCUAUCUAGGAACUCUGAUAAGGAGGAAAUGUAUGUUAUCACAUUCUUAGCAGAUGUUUCCAGAGUGUCUUACUGGGAGGACUCUUUGAAGUUAGAAUGGAUUUUUCUCUAUAUAUCCUGUACCCUCAGAAAAAUAAACUGAGUCAGUUUUUCUUCUCCACCUGGUCCCACUUCAUGUCUUAUUUCACGCCUUUCCGUUCAAUGUACAAUCUGGUUGCCGGCAACAUUUUGACGCAUCGAACAGUGACAAAGAGUCAGAGAAAGGACAGCUCCUUGAAUGUUCCAGAGGAAAAGAAACCCUUGCUGGCUACUACACCAGGAAACAAGGUCCUUAAAUGGCUGGAGGCUGCGGUACUAAGGAAGGAAGUCUGGUAUAAAUGUGAGAAACAAGAAUGUUAAGAAACAAGACUUAUCUCAGAUGAGUCACUUCUUCCGCCUGGUAUCUUGAAGUGGUGCCCAGGUAAAGGGGGAAGGGAAGGAGAGGGAGGAAGAAGGAGCAGAAGCAAGAGAUGGAAGGAAGGAGAGACAAUGAGAGGGAGUGAUGGGGAAAGUAGUGAGAUGGAAAGAGACAGAGACAGAGAGAUAAGAAAGUAAGAACUAAAUAGGGCAGGGAGAGACAGAAAGAAAGAAUGAAAGGGGGGAAAGAUAGACAAGAGAAAGGGUGAGAAAUAGGGUAGCAAGGAGAGACAGAUGGACACAGAGUUAUGGAGGGAGAGAGAAAUUGAAAAAGGAGAAAGACAAGAGAAGACAAGAGAGAUAGACAUGGGAGAAAUUUAUAAAAGGUGGAAAAACAAAAUAUAAAGAUAAGGUGGGAAAGAGAAAGGCUAGAGACUGGUCAGAUAGAAACAGAUGGAGAGACAGAGAAAUAGGAGGUAGAAAGUCAGAGAAAGGUAGAGAAAAAGAUAUGGGGAGAAAUAGAGAUGAAUAAAGAGUGAAAACUAUGAGGUGGGGAAAGUCA
rnacentral:lncRNA from 1 species